CGCUGCUAUUUUGCUUUAUAAUUAACAUUAUCAUGAAUACAAAAACUGAGAAAACUAUUUAUUUUUCAAUUUAGUCUUCUCUUUUGUGAAACUUCAAAUUUCGGCAUUCAUCAACUUCCCAUUAUGUGACAAAGGAUCCAGAGACAAAGAGAAGACCCAGAUGAGAGGAAAUAGCUUAAACCUGCAGACGUUAUUCAUUUAGAGAAGAUAGAAACUGGAAGCAUUUUGUAAUAAUUGUGCUUUAAAAUAUAUUUCUACUUUGUUUUCUGCUUCACUAAACCUAGGAUAUAGUCAUGUGUGUUAAAUGAUUGAGGGGAAAAAAACAGAAAAACUGGAUCAUUGAAGAAAUUAUUCACUCAGACUUCACUCAAGACUGAGCAGAGAUAAUACACAGAAGGAAAAGUGAAAAACAUCAAAGCCUCUUCUAACUCAAAAACAAUUAUGGAGAGCACAAUUUGCUUUUCUAGUUGAAGUAAAGCACCCUCCUUGGGAGAUCUUCACUCUUCACAUCUUCAUUUGAUUACAGCCUGCUUCAUCUUUCACCAUGAGUAAAAGCUGCUUGAAGCCUCCCCAGGAGCUGAACAGCUGCGGAUGCCAUGCUUCCUGUACAGCCUGCAGAACCAUGAGCCAAGUAAGCCUGCCUUAUUUAUCAAUUACCCAGCCUCAGCUAUUUCUUUAUAGAGAUUCAAAAAUGAACAGGAGGAAUGUUAUAAGAAGGAUGACUAUAACUGCUUGACUCCUCUAGAAUACUGUACUCACUUAAAUUCUGAGUCCCUUCCCUCUCAGAAAUUUAAGGUCAUAAGCCCUGACAUAGUUUGUGGCAUAAGCCAGUAGAGGGUGAACCUAGAAGAGAGCAAAUCAGGAGUUGCAUGGCAGCUGAGCAAAUAAAUUCAAGGAGGAGGAAAUGAAAAGCAACAUCUGGUGAGGGAAAAGCACCAUGCCAUUGUUUCAGAAGUCCUAAGUAGAGAGUCAAUUAUGGAUUAAAAAUAAUAACAGUGAAAACAACUAGCCCCA
rnacentral:lncRNA from 10 species